GCCUACGGCCAUACCACCCUGGCCACGCACGAUCUCGUAUGCAUCUCGGAAGCUAAGCAGGGUCGGGCCCGGUUAGUACUGGAUGGGAGACAUCUGGGAAUACAGGGUGACUGUAGGCU
rnacentral:rRNA from 1 species